rnacentral:rRNA from 1 species
GAUGAACGCUGGCGGCGUGCCUAAUACAUGCAAGUCGAGCGAACAGACGAGGAGCUUGCUCCUCUGACGUUAGCGGCGGACGGGUGAGUAACACGUGGAUAACCUACCUAUAAGACUGGGAUAACUUCGGGAAACCGGAGCUAAUACCGGAUAACAUGUUGAACCGCAUGGUUCAACAGUGAAAGACGGUCUUGCUGUCACUUAUAGAUGGAUCCGCGCCGCAUUAGCUAGUUGGUAAGGUAACGGCUUACCAAGGCAACGAUGCGUAGCCGACCUGAGAGGAUGAUCGGCCACACUGGAACUGAGACACGGUCCAGACUCCUACGGGAGGCAGCAGUAGGGAAUCUUCCGCAAUGGGCGAAAUCCUGACGGAGCAACGCCGCGUGAGUGAAGAAGGUCUUCGGAUCGUAAAACUCUGUUAUUAGGGAAGAACAAAUGUGUAAGUAACUAUGCACGUCUUGACGGUACCUAAUGAGAAAGCCACGGCUAACUACGUG